rnacentral:rRNA from 1 species
UGGGGAAUCUUCCGCAAUGGGCGAAAGCCUGACGGAGCAACGCCGCGUGAAUGAAGAAGGCCUUCGGGUCGUAAAGUUAUGUCUUUAGGGAAGAAGUCUCUUUAUGUGAAUAAUGUAGAGAGGUGACGGUACCUGAGGAGGAAGCUCCGGCUAACUACGUGCCAGCAGCCGCGGUAAUACGUAGGGAGCAAGCGUUGUCCGGAAUUACUGGGCGUAAAGGGCGCGUAGGCGGGAUAUUAAGUUAGGUGUGAAAACUCCGGGCUCAACUUGGAGACUGCACUGAAAACUGGUAUUCUUGAGGACAGUAGAGGAAAGUGGAAUUCCUAGUGUGGCGGUGAAAUGCGUAGAUAUUAGGCGGACCACCAGUGGCGAAGGCGACUUUCUGAACUGUAACUGACGCUUAGGCGCGAAGGCGUGGGGAGUGAACG